rnacentral:rRNA from 1 species
GACGAACGCUGGCGGCGUGCUUAACACAUGCAAGUCGAACGGAGUGGCGAACGGGUGAGUAACACGUGGGUGACCUGCCCUGCACUUCGGGAUAAGCCUGGGCAACUGGGUCUAAUACCGGAUAGUGUGGGAUGGGCCCGCGGCCUAUCAGCUUGUUGGUGGGGUAAUGGCCUACCAAGGCGGCGACGGGUAGCCGGCCUGAGAGGGUGGACGGCCCACUUGGGACUGCGGCACGGCCCAGACGGCUACGGGAGGCAGUAGGGGGGAAGAUUGCACAAUGAGCGGAAGUCAGAUGCAGAGACGCCGGGUGGGGGAUGCCGGGCUUCGGGUUGUAAACGCCUUUCACAAUCGCCGCGGUAGAUGGAGAAGAAGCAACGGCUAACUCCGUGCCAGCAGCCGCGGUAAUUC